UGCCCGAAACUAAUAAUACAAUAUAUGUUAACUAAAUUGAAUUUAAAUUAAAAGUUUUAAAAUGUUUUCAUGUCUUGGCUCUGUGUGAACUUUUCUCAAGAAAAUGUAUAGUGUACUAUUCUUAUGUGGGGAGGGCAGAACUUACUUAAAGACUCCUGGGGGGGCGGGGGAAGUGGCCAAGGAGCAAGGCUGGAAGCUCCUGCAAAUGUGGACUGCUCAGACACCACCACUUUGGGGUCCUCUGGAAGGGGCUCAGUACCAAGGAGCACCAAGAGUGUGUUUAGAGCUGAUUUCACCCCAUAUCUUACAUGUAUCAAGCACUGUGACAAAUAACAGCAAGCAUUUGCUUCUUUGAUUUUAUACCUGACUCUCUGCCAGCCUUUUCCUUUUGUCUCUUAACCCCAUGUCCUAUACGAGGUUAAGAGUCUAUAUUAAUUUACUGGAGGAAAGGAGAAGACCAUGGAUGAAGAAGAAGAGCCUAAGUAUGCUGGUGCCUGCAGGACUCUCUGUUUACCUGUGUGUCUCCCCAGGUAGAUGCCAGCUCUCUGAGCAACAGGAUCCUUGGCAGAUAAGGUCAGCACAGCCAUUCAGGCACAUGCUGGGCUAUCGGAAAAAAGGGGGAUAGACGUGGAUCUGCCUUCAUGGAGUGUAGCAUCUAAUAAAAAAAUCAUAAUGUAAACAUGCACUCGUGUAAAUCACUACAUAAUUAAAGGUCAUGAUACUGGCAAGAGGAAAAUGCUGGGCUCCAGCUGUCAGGGAAGACCUUUCUCUUUGAGACCUCCAGGCUGAGUAGAACAGUCAGUUAGACAAAGGUCUUGGAAGGGAAGAGGUGGGGGCACACUUUUGAAGACUAAGUCAAGGAAGAGGCUGGUGAUUUGGAGACCCGAGAGUCAGUGAGGGAGGUUGGAGAGAGACUGCAGACACAGCCAGGGCCAAAUCAGGGGACUGAUGGAUUCAGUUAGGAUAAACUGUAUAAACUGGGUAAAUUCUAGUUUACCCUUCAACAGGGGAGGGGCCCAUACCAUCUGCUUUUGGUCAAAGACAAAUGAAUAAUGAGAAAAUGAGUGACCCUGGCAAUAUGCCAACGAGUCAAAUCAAUUGGAGAAAAUGGAACACCAGCAACAGCUGGGGAAUCUCCCUCUAUCCAGACCACUGCUUACACCCACUCCUGGAGCAUCUGUCCUCCCACCAACCUUGUUGGGGCCAUCCCUCCCCACUCUAUCUUUUCAGUAGGCCAUCUAGAAAUGGUGGUAAAAGAUACUGGGACUUCUGUGCAUUGUGUGAUUUACUUAGUCACAGAAAGGGUGGUCAAAGUCACUGGUUUAUACAAAUUAGGGAACUCAAGUCUACUUCAGAGAGUCAUGCCUCGUUGACAGCUCACACUGCAAUGACAUGCCUGCCUUUCUGCCCUACUUCAUUGUCAGUCAGGGCAACACUGGACUCUGUGAAGGCCAUGGCAUGGGAUCUGAUGGGAGGCUCAAUUCUAAGGGCACCAGGUCAGGGAAUGUUGGUGGGUCUCGGAUGUUUCAGAGGAAAUCUUUCCUACACACAGUGCCUCACUGGUUCUCAUAUACAACCCAGCAUCCUCCUGGUUAUCCUUCAUUAAGCAUCCUGGGCCCCUGUGCAACAUAGUGCUCAGCUGCAUUAAGAAGAAGUCAUUCCUAGUCAGCAUGCUGCUGAGAAACAGCCAAAUCACAAAUCACUCAGUAUGUGGUUUCCAAUGGCCAGAAUGGACUCUGACCAAGUUGCAAAGUGAAUCUCAUUUAAGAAUCAUUCUUAGCAACUCAUGGAUAUGGCUUUUCCCCAAAGGAAAUAAUUCUGCUGACUACCUCACAAUGAAUAAUGUUUAGUUCCAACCAAUGAAGCAGAGUAGUUUCCACCUAAGACUCCUGGAAUUCUCAUAUUGGAAAUUGUAUUUGAGAAUGAAAAUUUAAAUCCUUAUUAUGCUGAAGGUGCUGUUGGGAAAUUCUGGUGACAGUAGUAGCUCUGCAUGGUACUGCACAUCAGCACAUGGCAAGGACUCAAUGCUGCAGAAGACCUGGUGUCUUGUCCUCUGCCAACUAGAAAGCCCAUCCGUCAGGAAUGCCCUCCUUUCAUGUCAUCUCCUGUGUUCCUAUGUUACACUGGCUUCUUCAUGCUCUGGGAGGGCUGGUGCAGAAUGCUCAUGGGAUCUCU
rnacentral:lncRNA from 1 species